GCUUUUGGUUCAGUGGUAGAAUCCUCGCCUGCCACGCGGGCGCCCCAGUUCGAUUCCUGGCCUAUGCA
rnacentral:tRNA from 1 species